AGGUUGUUGAAGUGAAGACAGAAUGAUACCGUCCAUGACUUUGGAGUCAAGUGGAGAGGAAUCUGCCAUCAAGUUUGUGGCUGUUGAACAGUUACCCACAAUAAGCUGAGAACAUUUAGCAGCUCUCCCCGGGGAAAGCAGUAGGAAGGACAGCAGGAGGACACAUCACCAAGCCUGGGCCACGAUUCCUACAGUGUCACUCAGAGCUUUCUGGGUGCCACACCCCAAAAGUAGUUUUUUUUUUCUUUUUUUUUUUUUUCAUUUCACAGAGGUAAAUGAGCAGUUGGGUUUUUUGUUUGUUUGUUUGUUUAUCAAAUAAAGUUCCUGUUGUGGCACAGCAGAAACAAAUCUGACUAGUAUCCAUGGAUGCAGGUUUGAUCCCUGGCCUCGCCUAGUGGGUCAGGGACCCAGCGAUGCUGUGAGCUGUGGUGCAGGUUGCAGACAAGGCUCAGAUCCUGCAUUGCUGUGGCCAGCAGUUUAUAGCUCCAAUUCGACCCCUAGCCUGGGAACUUCCAUGUGCCAUGGGUGUGGCCCUAAAAAGCAAAAAAUUAAAAAAAAAAAAAGCUUUAGGUUUUUAAAGUUCCAUGUCAGAAAAUAUCCUUGCAGUGUGCAAAUGGAGACAUGUCAGUCCAUGUAGAAACGUAUUUUUCUUUUUUUGUGUAAUUAAAUCAGACACCUGGGAAAGCACGGUGAUAGUUGAGGUCAUUAGGAGACUGCUGAUGCAGCAGUGAAAAGUAAAGCAAAAAUGGCCAGCAUCUGUGGCCAUCUGAGUGUAUUCAGCACCCUAGGAAAAUGACUCAGGCUUGCCGUAUGUGUGAAUUUUAUCGAAAACGGAAGCUUUUAAAAACAUGUGUUUUUUAAAGCGUAUUACCCAUUUUGCUGAAGAAAAAUACUUAUAAAAUACUUCCACUGUCCCUGCCCUCAGUGGAACCUGGAGACUUUAGUCCAUGUGGCCAGCCAUCCAACACCACCGCUUGAACUAUCGCUUGUGUUUAAGCCACGGUACCGGUCGUCCUCACGGUAGAUGGGGCUGUGUAGACCGUUUGCCUUUACCUUCAGUAGCCCCCCAGAUGCCUUGUUUGUUGAGUUAUGGGUCUCAUUUCAUAGGCUUCCUGCUUCACUUUUACUCCCACACCUGCUGUGUUUUUGCACCUGAUGGGAGCUGCAUGCCCCUGGGACCUAUCAAUCUGUCCUUUCACUGUUUAGCCGAAAUUUGGUUUAACUGGAAAUCCUGUAAUUUACUUGGCAACUUGACCACACCCCCUCUUCAGGAAAUCCUGAAGAAAGGAGCCCUGCUUCCUCAGCACGUCGUCGCAAGGGAGAUAGCCGGCAGCUAGGACCUUACAGAUUCCCACAAAAGAUACCCAUGCCCAGCACAGAAAAGGCAUAGGGGUCCUGUGUUCUUCAAGCUAAGAAGGUGUUACAAUGAUCAGGUGAUAUUACAAGGCAUCAUGUGAUACCUCUAAGCCUGAAGGACUCGUGAGAACAAGGCUAGAGUUUUCCAAGACACCUCUUAGGUGGACCCUUGUCUGAAUCCCAAAGUUUCUGUGUCCAUUUAGCAUUAUGUAAUAGUUAGACACAAGGAGAAAUAGCUCAAAAAAAGGAAAGUUAAUCUUAACUCACAUACAGUCUGGAGGAGGCCCUAACAAGGAUGAUGAGGUGGCCUCACAAAUCAUCAAAGACCCAGGCUUCUUCCUGCUGUCCAUUUCACCAUGCCUCUUAGACUAAGAUGGCUGCUGGGGCUCCAGCCCUCACAUACACAUUCCAGAAAGAAGAACACAAGAAGAGAAAGAUGAAGGAUGCCAUCCUUUGUUGUCUUCAAAAGCUACCACCCUGGGGUAAUACUUUGUUUCUAUUCCUUGACCAGAACUGAACCACACAGCCACUUCUAUUUGCAUGGGAGACUAGGAAAUGCAGUCUCAUUCAUGAGAAAUUUUAUGAGCAUUUGAAGAUGCUGCUACUGAAAUUUACAUAUAGAAGCCUCAGCCAUGUCCUCUGUGUUGACUUUGCAGUAUGUCAGCUCGGCUUGGCUGAAUUACGCUUCCCAGAAAUCCCCUUCCUGUAUGAAUCACUGCAAAGGAGAAUAUCCUUGGGGGUCAGGAGGGUGGGAGGGAAGCAGCCCCCAUCUUGCAGGUCAUCUGCUGACUGCGUGUUGGUGUGAGGCAGCGGCUGGGUCUGCACGAGCUCCACCCUCCCUGCCUUCCCCUCAGCUUCUCCACGUCACAGGGCAGGUGUGGAUGCGUUAGCUCCCUGAGGAGGGGCCCUGUGUUCUCAGGAACCCUCCUCACCAGGGUCAGAGGCAGCAGUAAGGCCAAGGGUCAGUCCAUCCUCGUGUCAGCCCGCCCUGCUUGUGGGCUCAGCCUGCUCCCUACCUGCCCCCUGGGCGCGCCUCCUCCCUUCCUGCCGCUGCCCUGGGGACUUCCUGCCCCAGCAUCAGGGGCAGGAACACCAGCCUUAUGGGGGCUGCUCACCAGCUUGGCAAGGGUGUCACCAGAGCUCUGUAAUAGAUCCCUGCAAUUGUAGGUAACUCUGUAGUGACUGUGACUAGAAGUAUUCCCGUAUCUGUAUCAGUCAAGUUAUCUAUUUAGAUCUAGACGACAUUGAAUAGAGAGAUACUUGUGUGUGUGUGUGUGUGUGUGUGUGUAUGAUGGAGAUAUAGAGAAUAUAUAUAGUACAUGGAUGGCUAUGCCUUCUAUCUCUUUAGUUGGAAUAUAUGUCAUAUCUAUAUCUUUAUAUAUCUUAUAUAUCGAUCACUGUAUCUGUAGGUAUAUCUAUAUGCGGUAUGUUAUUUAUCAGUGUAUUCUUGAUAUAGAUACCAUCUACCUGAUUGAUAGCGAGCUGUAUCUUACUGAUCUGCAUGUUAAUUUUAUGUAUACAUACACAUAUAUUUCUCAUGGGUCUAUCACCAGCUAUAGAUGUGGACCUUCUGCUGGUCUCCUUUGGUUGAACCCUGACAGAUAAACUGUCCCUCUCACAGCCACCUGCCCUCCGCAAGCUCCAAAGACGUAACAGACCCUUGGUGAAGUAGGAUGAACUCACCCCCAUACACAGACACACACAGACACACACACACACACACACACACACACCCCUCAAGCUGGACUAUUUCACCAGCUUCAUGAAUUAGAGGGACAAAUGACCAUGGAGGGAAAUUGGGCAACAUCAUGGUGAUUCAGUCUUGAGCACACCCAAGGUUCUGAGUUAAGAUCCGUGUCUCCACUCUUACUUCCAUUUCCUUUCCGGUGUCAAAUCGCACUGCCUCCGUAGUGAAAAGGCCACCUCUGCAGAUGAAUGUUUAAAUACACCUGAGAUUACGGAUCAUGUCUUAGAUUUGGGGACCUUGAACAGACCUUGUAAUGACUGUUCCCAGGAGUCCCUGCUCCUCCUGGAAUUGCCCAGGUUAAAUGUUAUUUUAUCAGAGUCACUUUUGAAGGAAGUAAUGGGGUUUCUGAUUUUUCGGGGGGAGCAGGGGCUGUGCCCAUGGAAUUGGAACGUUCGCAGGCCAGGGAUUGAACCCAUGCCAAAGCAGUGACCAUGCCAAAUCUGAAACCAUUAGGUUACCGGAGAUCUCCAGGAUUUCUGAUGUCUUUUGAGGCUAAAGGGCUACCGUUCUACCUCGGGUGCUAACGGGGUACCUGGAUUUCUAACAUUUUAAGAUUCUUUUUCAUUCUCGAAAGCAAAAGGAGGUAGAGGUACCUAAGUAGCCAAUUAGAAAAGAACAUUUUUUUUAAAAAAGGUGAAAACUUUAAGGGAAAAGGAUGGAUUGGGAAAAAUUUUUAAAUAUCUUAAAGACUUGUUUGGAAAGUUAAGAUUGAAUUGAUACAACUCUGGAAAUUGUGGGGAAAUUGCACAAAGCUUUGCAAGAUUCACGUGAAGUUUGGGCAAUGAUGCUUGUUGAAUCAAGCUGACUGUAGAGAAAGGAAUCUAGAGACAAGAUCUCUCGACAUGUUUUGCAAUUUCUGUAUGUCCUAAAUGAAGGAGCACGGAGGCAGUUAAUGAGGAAGGGAAUAUGUAGAUAAGACUCCUUCCUCCUCCCCCUCCCCUUCAGCCUCUUCCUUCUAAGUUGAAAGUAUUAUAGCCUCGAAGAGAAGGGCUUGCUUCUCAACUGCUGAAAUCCUAUGAAGUCUGGCAUUUGGUCUCAUUUUUUAAAAAUUUUAUUUUAUUUUAUUUUAUUUGCUUUUUAGAGUUGCACUCGCAGCGUAUGGAAGUUUCCAGGCUAGGGGUCAAAUCAGAUCUGUAGCUGCUGGCCUCCACCACAGCCACAGCAACGUGGGAUCUGAGCUGCAUGUGAGACCUACAUUGCAGCUCACGGCAAUGCUGGAUCCUUAACCCACUGACCAGGGUUAAGGGACCGAACCUGCAUCCUCAUGGAUACUAGUCAGGUUGGUCACCCCUGAGCCACAUUGGGAACUUCUUAUUUCUCUUUCUUAAGAGAACCUAACAAUCCAAAUGCUGGACUAGGAUACAUUGUAUCAAACCUUCAUGCUUUUUUGUUUUCCUUUGGUAACCAAGCUCAAGGAGUUCCCACCAGGGCACAAUGGGUUAAGAACCUGACUGCAGCAGCUGGGUCUGGUCCCAGACCUGGCACAGUGGGUUAAAGAAUCUGGAGUUGUUGCAGUUAUGGUGUAGGUCACAGCCAUGGCUUGAAUUGGAUCCCUUGUCUGGGAACUUCCAUAUGCCGUGGUGCAGCUGUUAAAAAAUACACCCAAAGAAACAAGGUAUCCUUUAUCAUUUACAGAGGAUGUCCAUCUGACAGGGAAGCUGCCUCUGUAACUGCGGUUAUCAGGGAUACGCAUAGAAGAACAGUAGACUCCCUGGACCCUACGUUUGAGUUAAAUGAAGUGAGCUGAUGUAGCCAACAUAGUCUGAGAGCACACAGGGUUUACUCUCCUGCUAGAAGGUACACGCCUCACAUGCAUUUAUAAAUUUCAUGAAUAUACUCAAUUGAAAAAAGUGACCUGAAGUCUCUACAUAGGUGUGUGUAGUGCAGGACAUUUGCGACUUCACAUUAGAAUAUUUGCUAUGAAGUGGCUUUGGGACACUGGCACCCUCAUCAGCCUAGAAGACUAUUGUCAGAGGUGAACACCUGAGUCACACGUUAAGACAGUGCUGGCGACCGACCAGGAUCCAUCGGAAGCAGGAAGGUGCCUCUGAUACUCAGCGCGUCAUGCCUUAUGCUCGCAGAACAAACUGUGCCUCAGAUGUCCCCACGUGGAGCCUGUCCAGGAGAGGAAAAAAGGGAUUUCUCUGCUUCAGUUUGGAACUUCUCUUGCACAUCGCACUGUCCACCAUGCAGUUUGUAAAGCCUGUUGGGGCUCUGGGGAAUUGUGGCUGAUUCUAAAAUAUUUGGAAGGAUCAAGAGUA
rnacentral:lncRNA from 1 species